AUUGAACGCUGGCGGCAUGCCUUACACAUGCAAGUCGAACGGCAGCACGGGAGCAAUCCUGGUGGCGAGUGGCGAACGGGUGAGUAAUACAUCGGAACGUGCCCAGUAGUGGGGGAUAACCCGGCGAAAGCCGGACUAAUACCGCAUACGACCUACGGGUGAAAGCAGGGGAUCGCAAGACCUUGCGCCAUUGGAGCGGCCGAUGUCAGAUUAGCUUGNGGCGGGGUAAAGCCCACCAAGGCGACGAUCUGUAGCUGGUCUGAGAGGACGACCAGCCACACUGGGACUGAGACACGGCCCAGACUCCUACGGGAGGCAGCAGUGGGGAAUUUUGGACAAUGGGCGCAAGCCUGAUCCAGCCAUGCCGCGUGCGGGAAGAAGGCC
rnacentral:rRNA from 1 species